rnacentral:rRNA from 1 species
UACAGAGGGUGCGAGCGUUAAUCGGAAUUACUGGGCGUAAAGCGCGUGUAGGCGGCUUUGCAAGUCGGAUGUGAAAGCCCUCGGCUCAACCGGGGAGGGUCGUGGCGAUACGGGCGAACUGGAGGCCAGUAGGGGGAUGCGGAAUUCCGGGUGUAGUGGUGGAAUGCGUAGAGAUCCGGAAGAACACCGGUGGCGAAGGCGGCCUGCUGGGCAGUUUGGCUGACACUGAGGCGCGACAGCGUGGGGAGCAAACAGG